CAGCCGACAGGAGGUGGGUUUGGAGAGCAGCUCCGACGCUCACGUUCUCUCUGGGAUUUGGGACCCAGCGUUGCUCUGUGCCCGGUACCCGGGGUGCGGGGAAGGAAGUUGAGCAGGGAAGUGUCAUUUGUACAAAUUGCCAGUUCGUGCCAGCUUGGGAGAGACCUCACAAGGGAAACCUGGAGCCUUCCCUGCUUUUCAUGUGAGCGGAUGCCCCUUUUAUUUCUGAGCAAGGAGUAAGUGGAGAAGAAAGGAGCCCCUGUCAGCCGCACGGAGACAAAUUGCUUCCUGCAGCAGAGGUGGCUCAGCGCUAACAACCACCCACUGCCAGAGGGCUGUGAGCGAGUGGAGCUCCUCGUCCUUCCACGGGAUCAGGCUGGCAUGUCACUGUCACCGCAUGCCACUGCCACUGCGUGCCACCACUCCUCCGCGCCCCGCAGCUCCAUCGGUGCGGAUGAGACGGCAGCUCAGCGGCUCUACCUGCGCCCAUGCUGGGGAGAGAAAAACCUGAUUUAAGUGGCUCACAAAUGUGUGGGUUAAAGGCACACUGCUGCAAAGGCAACAUGUUGAGAGCUGGAGCCAGAUGGAUGUGGAUGAGCAGCGCAGUGAAAAUUAUCAACCGCAGGAACAGCGGGGGAUUCCCUGCUCCGGGGAGACGUGAAAUCAGGGACAGAUUUGCUCUCUUGCAGCAUGCCCUGGGUCGCACAGGAGUUAAUCCAGAGCAGUUGCGAUUACGGAUUGUGCACUGAGGGAUCCUAAACGCUCCCUCUGAUCCAUGAUCCAAAACCACAGCCCCCAGCCACACAGCCCUCUGUGAAGCCUCUUGCCAAAGACCUCCAUUUAGCGGUAAUUCCCUUUAUAGCUUAUUUUUGCCAUGCGGCUGCACACCCCAUUGUUUACCCGAGCACACAAGUCCCUGGCUCUUCUCCGUUCCAUUCUCUCUCAGCUGGCUGCCAUCGAGCUGAUUUCCCCCUCCUCCUGUGCUCUGCCACAGAGCCUAAAUCGACACAUCUGUUUUUAAAGAGAGGAGCAGUCCCAUCAUCCUCACUUUCAGCGCUGCACAUCCAACUCCUGCAGCCUCCAUGGGGCUGCCCUCGCCGUGUUUGUAUAGGGCCUACAGAAAAGGGGAGUGGGAAAACAAGAGUGGAACAUUACAUGUUUGGUGGUUUUU